UAGUCCACGCCGUAAACGAUGUCUACUAGUUGUUGGGAGACUUGAUCUCUUAGUAACGAAGCUAACGCGAUAAGUAGACCGCCUGGGGAGUACGGCCGCAAGGUUAAAACUCAAAUGAAUUGACGGGGGCCCGCACAAGCGGUGGAGCAUGUGGUUUAAUUCGACGCAACGCGAAGAACCUUACCUACUCUUGACAUCCAGGGAAUUCGCUAGAGAUAGCUUAGUGCCUUCGGGAACUCUGAGACAGGUGCUGCAUGGCUGUCGUCAGCUCGUGUUGUGAAAUGUUGGGUUAAGUCCCGUAACGAGCGCAACCCUUGUCCUUAUUUGCCAGCACGUAAUGGUGGGAACUCUAAGGAGACUGCCGGCGACAAACCGGAGGAAGGUGGGGACGACGUCAAGUCAUCAUGGCCCUUACGAGUAGGGCUACACACGUGCUACAAUGGCCGGUACAGAGGGCUGCAAACCUGCGAGGGCAAGCAAAUCUCAGAAAACCGGUCGUAGUCCGGAUUGGAGUCUGCAACUCG
rnacentral:rRNA from 1 species